rnacentral:piRNA from 1 species
UAGUUCGUUGGUCCUUAAUGCAUAAGC